rnacentral:rRNA from 1 species
AUUGAACGCUGGCGGCAGGCCUAACACAUGCAAGUCGAGCGUGCGGCGGACGGGUGAGAAAUGUAUGGGGACUGCCCGAUAGCGGGGGAUAACUACUGGAAACGGUAGCUAAUACCGCAUACUAUCGGAUAACCCAUAUGGGAUUAGCUAGUAGGUGAGGUAAGGGCUCACCUUGGCGACGAUCCCUAGCUGGUCUGAGAGGAUGAUCAGUAAAACGGGAACGGGGAAACGGCCCAGACUCCUACGGAGGCAGCAGGGGGGAAGUUUGGACAAUGGGGGAAACCCUGAUCCAGCCAUCCCGCGUGUAUGAUGAAGGCCUUCGGGUUGUAAGGUACUUUUGGCAGAGAAGCGGUAUCUGCAGAAUAAGCACCGGCUAACUACGUGCCAGCAGCCGCGGUAAUUC